rnacentral:hammerhead_ribozyme from 1 species
GUCCAUCUGACGCGUCUCAAAUAGGACGAAACGCGCGUCCUGGAU